rnacentral:rRNA from 1 species
GACGAACGCUGGCGGCGUGCCUAAUACAUGCAAGUCGAACGAAAGCGCCCGGUGCUUGCACUGGUCAAUCUAGUGGCGAACGGGUGAGUAACACGUGGGUAACCUGCCUAUCAGAGGGGGAUAACAUCCGGAAACGGGUGCUAAAACCGCAUAAGAUUUCGAACCGCAUGGUUUGAUGGGGAAAAGAGGCGCAGGCGUCUGCUGUUGGAGGGACCCGCGCCGCAUUAGCUAGUUGGUAAGGUAACGGCUCACCAAGGCCGGGAUGCGUAGCCGACCUGAGAGGGUGAUCGGCCACAUUGGGACUGAGACACGGUCCAGACUCCUACGGGAGGCAGCAGUAGGGAAUCUUCCGCAAUGGGCGAAAGCCUGACGGAGCAACGCCGCGUGAGUGAAGAAGGUCUUCGGAUCGUAAAACUCUGUUGUUAGAGAAGAACAAGUGCUAGAGUAACUGUGCGCGCCUUGACGGUAUCUAAUCAGAAAGCCACGGCUAACUACGUG